rnacentral:rRNA from 1 species
UUUGAUGGUGGCUCAGGUUGAACGCUGGCGGCAGGCCUAACACAUGCAAGUCGAGCGGUAACAGAAAUUAGCUUGCUAAUUUGCUGACGAGCGGCGGGCGGGUGAGUAAUGCCUGGGAAUAUACCCUGAUGUGGGGGAUAACUAUUGGAAACGAUAGCUAAUACCGCAUAAUCUCUUCGGAGCAAAGAGGGGGACCUUCGGGCCUCUCGCGUCAGGAUUAGCCCAGGUGGGAUUAGCUAGUUGGUGGGGUAAUGGCUCACCAAGGCGACGAUCCCUAGCUGGUCUGAGAGGAUGAUCAGCCACACUGGAACUGAGACACGGUCCAGACUCCUACGGGAGGCAGCAGUGGGGAAUAUUGCACAAUGGGGGAAACCCUGAUGCAGCCAUGCCGCGUGUAUGAAGAAGGCCUUCGGGUUGUAAAGUACUUUCAGUUGUGAGGAAGGCGUUGGAGUUAAUAGC